UUCGUUCUGUCUGUCUGUGUGUCUGUCUCCCUGGCUGGGUGUGGCUGACCCACUUCUGAUUCCCGCCAACUCACCUCCGCAGCUGCUGCUCAUCAUCCUGAUUACACUACUCACCUUCACCUGCUUAUAUGCCCGGUCCUCUCAUCCAGUAUUCACCAGUUCGUCGUUUCACCUCGCUGAAUCCAUCUGCCUACUCCUCUGCCUGCCACAUCCAGCCACGUACCUCUCGUCUGAGUAUCUCCGUGCUUCCACGCACACCGGCUCCAACCUGUCAACUAUCGCCAGCUCUGGAUCAGCGGCUUUCCUCGCCAGUGUACCUUCGUGCUUCCACGCACACCAGCUCCUUCCUGUCGACUCUCACCAGCUCUGGUCCCCCGGCUCUCCUCGCCAGAGUAUCUCCGUGCAUAUCCGCACCACCUCAGUUAACAAACCCUGGCUUUGGGUUUAUUGGAUAUUUAAUCCCUCGUCUGACUCUAUAUAAGGUUUUUGGUUAAUAAACCUUUUUCUACCUCAAAA